rnacentral:rRNA from 1 species
ACACUCCUGCGGGAGGCAGCAGUGGGGAAUUUUGGACAAUGGGCGAAAGCCUGAUCCAGCAAUGCCGCGUGAGUGAAGAAGGCCUUCGGGUUGUAAAGCUCUUUUGUCAGGGAAGAAACGGUGAAAGCUAAUAUCUUUUGCUAAUGACGGUACCUGAAGAAUAAGCACCGGCUAACUACGUGCCAGCAGCCGCGGUAAUACGUAGGGUGCAAGCGUUAAUCGGAAUUACUGGGCGUAAAGCGUGCGCAGGCGGUUUUGUAAGUCUGAUGUGAAAUCCCCGGGCUCAACCUGGGAAUUGCAUUGGGGACUGCAAGGCUAGAAUCUGGCAGAGGGGGGUAGGAUUCCACGUGUAGUAGUGAAAUGCGUAGAUAUGUGGAGGAACACCGAUGGCGAAGGCAGCCCCCUGGGUCAAGAUUGACGCUCAUGCACGAAAGCGUGGGGAGCAAACAGGAUUAGAAACCCCGGUAGUCCCAUG